AUUGAACGCUGGCGGCGUGCCUAACACAUGCAAGUCGAGCGAAUUUAGGGGGCUUGCUCCCUAAGUUAGCGGCGCACGGGUGAGUAACGCGUGGAUGAUCUACCCAUCAAUUUGGGAUAACAGUUGGAAACGACUGCUAAUACCAAAUACGAAGUCAUUUCAUAUUUGAUUUGAAAGGCGGCCUCUGCAUAUGCUGCCGUUGAUGGAUGAGUCCGCGUUUCAUUAGGUAGUUGGUAGGGUAACGGCCUACCAAGCCUUUGAUGAAUAGCCGGCCUGAGAGGGUGAACGGCCACACUGGGACUGGAACACGGCCCAGACUCCUACGGGAGGCAGCAGUGGGGAAUAUUGCGCAAUGGGCGAAAGCCUGACGCAGCGACGCCGCGUGAGGGAUGAAGGUCUUCGGAUCGUAAACCUCUGUCAGAAGGGAAGAAGUGUAGUUGUGCUAAUCAGCAGCUAUUUGACGGUACCUUCAAAGGAAGCACCGGCUAACUCCGUGCCAGCAGCCGCCGUAACAC
rnacentral:rRNA from 1 species